UGCUCAUAUUUCAAUCAUGCUUCAGCCAAAAUUUAACUGCUUUCCCUUGGGAUUUUCUAACAUUGGAUAAUAAGGGAAUUAAAUAGAAAGUGACAUGAAUCUUUCACCUUGUACUUAUCUCAUAAUUGGCAGAUGCGUUGCUCCCUAGAAUGACAUACUUUAAUCUCUUGCCGUAAACAACCGAAGUACUUUUGCUCGGAGUAUGUCAAUCAACAAUCCGGAUAACUAUAAGGUACCGCCUCCCUUUAAAAAUGACAAUGUGGCUGAGGGUAUUCAUCACGAAUAUCCAUACACGUAACCACAAGGACCCUAACUGUCAAAAGCUUGUACAUCAAUAGUAGGCCUACACAGUGGUGGCCGAUUCAUAUUGGAAGA